rnacentral:rRNA from 1 species
UACGGGGGGGGCAAGCGUUGUUCGGAAUUACUGGGCGUAAAGGGCUCGUAGGCGGCCAACUAAGUCAGACGUGAAAUCCCUCGGCUUAACCGGGGAACUGCGUCUGAUACUGGAUGGCUUGAGUUUGGGAGAGGGAUGCGGAAUUCCAGGUGUAGCGGUGAAAUGCGUAGAUAUCUGGAGGAACACCGGUGGCGAAGGCGGCAUCCUGGACCGACAUUGACGCUGAGGCGCGAAAGCCAGGGGAGCAAACGGGG